UGGCGUGGUUGCAUCCACAUGGCUGUGCAGCCCUUUUCCCUGCUCAUAUGCAUCUGCACAUAUUUCUGUGUUUUGAUGAUUGCACACUGGUAAAAAGCUACUUGUUUUGAGGAGCUUGUAAUGCAGAGAAAAAUCAAACAUUUCCAAGGUAAAGACACACAUGAAUUUUGAAAGGCAUCCUGCACCAUAGAGACUUUCCUUCACUGCUGCAAAGUGUCUGUGGAAGAAGGCAAGCCAUUUACGCUGCAUUUACUGCACUCCCAUGCUCCUGUGCAAAUAGAAGAGUUUGCCUUUCCCCUUUCAGCUGUGGUCAGCUAUGCUCUGUUGCAGGAAUUCUUAAGAUCACUAGUGUGGACUCCAAAAGGAGUCAGUCAGUUCCCUCCAAAAGUCACCUUUCUGUGUGUUGAGCCUGUACUAAUGUAUGUAUUUCUCUGCAGGGCUUUUGGCUUACUUCAGUGCUGUUUUCAUGUGAUCUUGCUAUCACUUUGGUUUGCUGGCCGAGUGGGCUUGUUUGUACCUGAAGAGUAUCUUGCAGAGACAGAACUGUAGUGAAAUGCUUUGAUAGCUGGACACAUUUUGGCUGCUAGGCCCAGCCUCUGCUGGUUGUCGUAACACUUUGAGUAGCUGAGUCCUUCCAGCUGGUAGUGAUAGUUUCAGCUGUCACAUUAAACCUGCAGUAACUCCUUUGGGCGCAACAGGUGUAGCUUCAACUGCCAGCAGCUGGACAUAUUUGACUUUCCUCCUCCAGAAGACUGCAUAGCACCGGUAUGUGCAGAGCACAAAGGAUUACCUCAGCAGCAUUGUAAGAAUACCUUUACUGGUAGCUGGGGAGUCAUACAGCUGUUUGGUCUCCUGCUGUCAUCUGAUGAAUCUCAUGCUGAUACAUCUUUAAAUGAAGAGAGAGAAGUACACAGAACUUCUUUAGCUGGUCUGCUUGCUAAAAGAUAGAAUACCUAAUUUGGAGGUAUAACAGAUUAGGAAAACAUUUU